rnacentral:rRNA from 1 species
AUGCGGUUCAGCUGCAUCUGCAAUGCGUGGCAGUCCACCAUGUGCCGUGACGCGUCCUUCCACCGCGCACACCUCCGCCGUCAGAAGCCAUGUCUGCUCGUCUCGCCGCACACGCUGUACGACGGUCACCGGCCCAUGGACAAGGUCGGCCUGUACAGGUGGGAGGCGAACCAGCAGUGCACCACCGUGCGACUCAUGCACGACAUGGACUUGACCUCCGACUACCUGAUGCACGAUUUCGCUCAUUGCGAUGGGCUGGUCCUGCUGCCCGUCGGGUCCACCACGUACGUGCUCAACCCGGCCACACGCCGCACCCUGAACCAUCCCCUGGGCCGUGGCGCCGACCCGCCACGGCGAAAGCCCCUCAGCUUCGAGAUGUGCCACCAGGCGUUUGGCCUUGGGCACGACCCACGUUCUGCCGCCUACAAGGUGGCACGCUUCUCCUACCCCUCUUUGCACCUGCUUAUGGGGGCGUGCAGCUACCGCUCCAUCAUGAUGGAAGUGUUCACCAUUGGGACUGAUCAGCACUGGCGUGAGUCAGUCACGCGACCGCCAUACCCUGUCCUGGCACAAAGAACAGCGACCUUCUUCAAGGGGUCCCUCAUCUGGGCCAUCGACGAGCUCACGAGCGUAACCUCGGGAAGGCCGCGCCAGGUUUCCUCCGUUUCAGCUUGGGAGACGAUGUUGGAAUACACCCGGUUCAGUUUAUCCGAGCUGCACGGGGAGUUGUGCUUGACCUGUGAAGGGGCCAACAUCAAUUCAGUUGAGUUGUGGAUGUGCAACAGCGUUGAGAAGCCGAGAUGGGAUCGACGUUACACAAUCGCUGUUCUCAUGUUCAGGCCCCCUGAACUAUGUCCAAUUGCCACAAUUGAUGACGAGAUUGUGUUCAAGGAACGGGUGUCUUAUACGAGACGCUACAAUCUCAAAACCAAAGCUUACAAGGAUCGGUUCUGCAUGGAAAACUAG